CAUGUCGAAGCUGAUUACAGCAUUUAACUGUUAAUUAAAAGGUAGCCAAAACACAUAAGGCCGAUAUGA
rnacentral:tRNA from 1 species